rnacentral:rRNA from 1 species
UAACGCGUGAGGAACCUGCCUCAAAGAGGGGGACAACNGUUGGAAACGACUGCUAAUACCGCAUAAGCCCACAGCUCGGCAUCGAGCAGAGGGAAAAGGAGCAAUCCGCUUUGAGAUGGCCUCGCGUCCGAUUAGCUAGUUGGUGAGGUAACGGCCCACCAAGGCGACGAUCGGUAGCCGGACUGAGAGGUUGAACGGCCACAUUGGGACUGAGACACGGCCCAGACUCCUACGGGAGGCAGCAGUGGGGAAUAUUGCACAAUGGGGGAAACCCUGAUGCAGCGACGCCGCGUGGAGGAAGAAGGUCUUCGGAUUGUAAGCUCCUGUUGUUGGGGAAGAUAAUGACGGUACCCAACAAGGAAGUGACGGCUAACUACGUGCCAGCAGCCGCGGUAAAACGUAGGUCACAAGCGUUGUCCGGAAUUACUGGGUGUAAAGGGAGCGCAGGCGGGAAGACAAGUUGGAAGUGAAAUCUAUGGGCUCAACCCAUAAACUGCUUUCAAAACUGUUUUUCUUGAGUAGUGCAGAGGUAGGCGGAAUUCCCGGUGUAGCGGUGGAAUGCGUAGAUAUCGGGAGGAACACCAGUGGCGAAGGCGGCCUACUGGGCACCAACUGACGCUGAGGCUCGAAAGUGUGGGUAGCAAACAGGAUUAGAUACCCUGGUAGUCCACACCGUAAACGAUGAUUACUAGGUGU